rnacentral:rRNA from 1 species
CUACGGGAGGCAGCAGUGGGGAAUAUUGGACAAUGGGCGAAAGCCUGAUCCAGCCAUGCCGCGUGAGUGAUGAAGGCCCUAGGGUUGUAAAGCUCUUUCGGCGGGGACGAUAAUGACGGUACCUGGAUAAGAAGCCCCGGCUAACUUCGUGCCAGCAGCCGCGGUAAUACGAAGGGGGCUAGCGUUGUUCGGAAUCACUGGGCGUAAAGCGCACGUAGGCGGAUCUUUAAGUCAGGGGUGAAAUCCCGGGGCUCAACCUCGGAACUGCCUUUGAUACUGGGGAUCUCGAGUUCGGGAGAGGUGAGUGGAACUGCGAGUGUAGAGGUGAAAUUCGUAGAUAUUCGCAAGAACACCAGUGGCGAAGGCGGCUCACUGGCCCGAUACUGACGCUGAGGUGCGAAAGCGUGGGGAGCAAACAGGAUUAGAAACCCCAGUAGUCC